rnacentral:rRNA from 1 species
UACAGGGGGUGCAAACGUUGCUCGGAAUCAUUGGGCGUAAAGCGCACGUAGGCGGUUCGUUAUGUCGGAUGUGAAAGCCCUUGGCUUAACCGAAGAAGUGCAUCCGAAACUGGCGAGCUAGAGUACUAAAGAGGAUCGCGGAAUUCCCGGUGUAGAGGUGAAAUUCGUAGAUAUCGGGAGGAACACCGGUGGCGAAGGCGGCGAUCUGGGUAGAUACUGACGCUGAGGUGCGAAAGCGUGGGGAGCAAACAGG